AUCUGACUUCUACAAUGAUUUUCUUAUAAAAGCGGGUAAAGAUCAAUUCGGACGGGAUUUUUACAGGUAAAAACGUAAAUGGUUUGAAUUAUAAGAGCUUUGUCUGCCCAAAGAAUAGAAAUUUCCAAUAAAUCAAAAUUUACAGAAAACAAGCUAAAAUAUCUCCAAAAGCAGCACAUGAAGGUUUUGUUUUUAUUACUUAUCUAAAUUGACUAUGUAUAUAAUAGCUUGUACAAUAGAAAGACAAGGAUAUGGGGUAUCUUUCCAUCACAUAAAAUCAGUACAUGCACAACAAAAAGAAAGGCAAACACAAAGCAAAGAAAGUAAUUUUAAAGUCACAAUGAGGCCUUCAACACGGAACAAGAAAACUCUUACCUAAUUGCAAGUUUGAGACGGCCCCUAGCACCGGCUUGAGCGGAAAUCUUUGUAAAAAUAAUUCGCAUCAACUUUGUAAGAUGUAAAUGAAACACAACCUAAUCGGGCCCGGUAAAAAAAGAACAUGAAGGAAAAUAGUACAUAUUUAAACAAAAUAGUGCCUACUCACACCUUAAAUCAUGUAGCAUACAUUUUAGUAAUUAAGAUAUCAGAUGAAAGGCGAAGGACUGGGGAUCAUUGUAGAACACUCAAUUCACUGAUAAUUCUUAAUAAUAAAAAAAUGUCUGAUUUCUAAAAUUAAGGUCAUAUAUAAAUCUGUUUCUCAGGUUUUGUGUAUCCAAAAUUCAGAUAAUGCGUGCAGAACAGUCUGAUGUAUAAAUACAGGUACACUGAUCCCGCUUGCAUAAAAUGUUUUUAAGUGAAAAAAAAUUAACGUGGAUAGGAAUGAGGGCCACGAAAAGGUGGUGUGCGUCUUAAUAAAAUUUUAGUAUACAAACUGUCCAAAAAUUGAAAGAAUGAUGUGGUACACAUAAGAAGAGUUAUCUCAAGAAUAAAUACACCAUAACUUUAAAAAUACAGGAAGCAUACACAUCAAGCACGGGAAAUUUUCUGCCGCCUCCACACAGCACGAAAACUCCAUCAAUAUAAUAGAAGCACAAAGAAUAUGGGGUAUCUUUUCAUGACACAAAAUCACUACAUGCACAACAAAAAACCAAACGAAAAGCAAAGGGACAUGACUUUUAUUGCUGUUCUUCAUCUCAAAGUCACACGGAGCCAAAAUACUCUCACCUCAUUGCGAGGUUAAAACGGCACCUACCACCGGCUUGAGAGGAAGGGUUUUCAAAAAUAAAUUGUGUGCAAAUUUUCGUAAAAUAUUUAUCGUUCGAUUAAAACUGUAUCGUAUGCUCUUAAGAGUUAUCUAUUUAGACCAACAAUUUUUUUAUUAUUUCUUUAUCUUUUUUUCACCUUUCAGGAAAAACUUGAUCGUCAUUCACAUCUACUUUGAUGAACUAAAAACAACAAUUGUAAGACAGUCACCUGUCUAUGGAUCUUCAGUAGAGAUAUUUGGUUAGUACUCGUUUGUGAUUACGUUUCAAUUCAAUUGAUGAGACUGUGAAUAAAGUGAGGAGUUUAGCGCUAUAAAACCAGGUUUAAUCCACCAUUUUCUACAUUUGAAAAUGCCUGUACCAAGUCAGAAAUAUGACAGUUCUUGUCCAUUCGUUUUUGUCAUUUGAUUUUGCCCUGAGAUUAUGGGUUUUCCGAUUAGAUUUUUCUUUGAGUUCAGUAUGUUUGUGAUGACAUUUAAAUUCAACACUAUAUUAUUACGUUAAAUGAAAAUACCAUUUUAUAAAUGUCGGAUGUCUUAAGCGAGUUUUUGGGUUUAUCUUCAGCAGGGAUGCUAGAUUUUAAACAUUUGACAGCCAGUUAGGUAUAAAACAUAAAAAUGUUAGAAGAUAUGAGAUUUACCCGUUAAAGAUAUAUUAUCUAUACUUCAGAAAUCUAAUGGUAAACUGUAAAAGUAAACAUAUCAAUUUUUCUUGGUUUUGUUAUACAAAAAAUAAAGCUAACUCGCCUUGUUAAGUCUAUUAUAUAAAAUGAUACUAAACUACACAAAAUAUGAUACUAAACUACACAAUAUGUAAUGGACAAAUAUAAAGCGGGAGAGAAAUUAAACAAGUUUCGGAUAACACUAAGGUGAACUCUAGAAAUUAACGGUGAACUGUAAAAUUGAGAAUGGAAAUGGGGAAUGUGCCAAAGAGACAACAACACGACCAUAGAAAAAAAAAAACAACAGCAGAGGUCACAACAGUCUUCAAUGUAGCGAGAAAUUCCCGCACCCGAGGCGUCCUUCAACUGGCCCCUAAACAAAUUAUACUAGUUCAGUAUAAUGAACGCCAUACUAAUUUCAAAUGUACACAAGAAACUAAAAUUAAAAUAAUACAAGACUAACAAGGCCAGAGGCUCCUGACUGGACAGCGCAAAAAUGCGCGGGUAAAAUGUUUGUAGAUCUCAACCCUCCCCUAUACCUCUAGCCAUGUAGAAAAGUAAACGCAUAACAAUACGCACAUUAAAAUUCAGUUCAAGAGAAGUCCGAGUCUGAUGUCAGAAGAUAUGUAUUACUGUUAUGUUCAGUUCUUAACAGUAGUUUUCUGAUUCAUUUGUUUUACCAUUAUAUAUUCAUAUAUAUCGACUAUUGAUUUUAAUAAUAUUAAAUUAAAUUAAUAUUUUUGUUUGAAAAAAAUAUAUGGUUGUAUUGAAAACCAUAAAUGUCAACGGAGCCAAACUGACUCAAAAGAGCUAAUUCCAGCUUGUGUGUGUGUUUAUUUCACAUUAGGUAGAGGUAUAGGGAGAGGGUUAAGAUCUUACAAAAUCUGUUUUACCCCGCCGCAUUUUCGCGCCUGUCACAAGUUCCCUGGCCUUUGUUAGUCUUGUAUGUUUUUUUUUAUUUUGGUUCAUUUAAUUUGUUUCGGAGUUUAGUGUGACGUCUAUUUUCGCUGAAAUAGUAAAAACAUUAUUGUUAAGGGUCCUGCUAACAUCCGCCUCGGGGUGCGGGAGUAUCUUGCUGCGUUGAAGACCCAUUGGUGGCCUUGGGCUGUUUUCUGCUCUUUGUUCGGUUUGUUGUCACUUUAAAACAUUCUCCGUUUCCAUUCUUAAUUUUAUUAUCCAUGAGUUUUGAGGUCUGACAAACAGUUUUUUACCUUGUCUCUUUCUGUAUGUCCCUGUUCAAAGACAGGAGCCUGUUACUCAGUUGUUGUCGUCUGGUGAGGUCUACCAUAUUUUGUACUGUUUUAGAAUUUACCAAGUCGUUUUUUACUUAUUUGAACUGUUUUACAUAUUGUUUUAUUUCGGCGCCUGUUAUAGCUUACUGUUCUGUUUGAAAUGUGCUCAUUGUUGAGGGUCACUGAUCUAUAGUGUAAACAUAUUUUAUUAAUCAAAUUCAAGUCAAAUGUUGUACACAGUUUGGCAUUCACAUAAUAAUACAAUUGAAUAAUCAAAUGAUCCGGAAACAAGAUGUUAACUUAUAUUAAUUCGUCUCCUUUCUGAUCUGUCACAGUUACACUGCUAACUUGGUUUAAAAUUGAAAAGGGUGUGGUGUAACUCUUUUAUAAGUUUACAGAUAAAUUUUAUGGAAUAUUAAUUACGACUUAAAGAAUUGAUCGACCUAUCAAGCAUUCAUUUUAUUGUAAAAAAAGAAGCGAAAAUGGAAUUCCCACAUUUUUAAAGCACGCCUAUGACUAUAAUGUACAUUGUAAUAACUAGUUCGUGGUAAAGUGGUCUUAAACAUGCGUAACACCCCCUCCCCACAUACCGUAUGUCCAUGUCCCAAGUCAAGUUCCUGUAGUUCAGUCGUUGUCGUAGGUUUAAGUCUAUCAUAUUUGUUUUUCGUUUUGCUUUAAACUAGGCCGUUAGUUUUUUCGUUUGAAUUGUUUCACAUGUUUCAUGUCGUGGACUUUCAUAGCCGACUCUACAGUUAUGGAAUGGAUAUGCGGUUGCAUAUAAUUGCGUAUUUCUACUUUAUUUGAACUCUGUGGGAUAAUUGUAGCAUUGACAAUCAAAUCACAUCAAAGCAAAUCCGAAAUUAUGAAGACAAGUAUCAUCCAUCAAAAAACAUUUACGUGAUUUAAACUUUAACAUUAAUCCCGUCGUUGCUACAUUAUUUUCUGUAUUACACAACAAUAAAUUCGACAUUCUAUAGAAAAUUGUAUCGAACUAGUUUACUUAUGUUCUAUGUACAUUUUGAGAGUUUUCCCAUGUCGAACGUAGAAAGAAACAUGCUUAAAUUUACAGGUUGCAGCACGUAUAAUAACUCAUGAAAUAUUGGAUUUGGAAGAAUUGUUUUAUUGCAUGCAAAUGAAUGUUAAGAUAUCAAUGCUAUUUUGAAUGAGCGCAUGUAUGUGUAGACUUGACUUAACAAAGUUAUUCGAACAUUCGUAUGUUUGUGAAUGAGUCGGCUUAAUUUGCGCAUCAAUACACGAUUCCAAAAAAUAACUUUGUUUUCUGUAAAUGUGAUUCAAACACAUGUGAGCUUCCUGAUUCUUAUUCUCCCCAACAGCCUUGCUAAAUUGGUAAUAUAAUUUCAAUUUUUUUCCCUUCAUAUUCAGGAAAUCUUGGAGGACAAAUGGGACUAUUUCUAGGAGCUAGUAUAAUCACCAUUACUGAACUGGGGGAAUUUUUGGGGUUUGUUUUAUGGUUCAUCUGGAAGAAAUGCAAGAACGGAAAUCGUACAAACUUUUCAGAAGAAAAGAAUGGCAAUGUUACACUCGAAGAAAUGUA
rnacentral:lncRNA from 1 species